GACAAUGGAUCAUGUGAUGCGGUCUGGAUGAAAGCUGAAGACAUGUAGGUGCUUCCUCUCUACAUGAAGUAUUCAACAGAGGAGUGUUGCAAAAGUCUGGAUGUACUAUGGAGCCUCCAAAACCAUUUUUACUGAGUUUGAGACCAGGGUCUGAUCCUACUCCCCGUUAAGAUAAGUGACAAAAUGCCCAUUGGAUUCAGAAGGGCAGAAACAAGCCCCUAAAUAGGAAAAUUGUUUUAGAAUGAAGGAAAUAUUCGAGUUCUGGCAAAUUAAAGUGUCAGUGGGCAGUUUGAGUAAGGAUGGAUGGAUUAGUCCCUACUGAACAUUUGAAUGGUAAGUUUUGAAGUUGCCUUCAAUGUUUGAGAAAUUUUUGCCCCCCAUGACUGACUUUGGGGUGGAGAACGGACAAUAACUGUUUUUCUCAAAAUUAAAAAUAUUGAUAAUUUCUUUGCUUACUCUGGUGGUGCAAAGGGCCAUAAACCGGCAGCAGUGUGGAGGACUAUAGAGCAAGCAUAGCUUUAUGCCUGGCUCUCUCCCCUGAGUGCCCUUCAGCGAACUCUGCCCCCCCCCACUCCUGAGAUCCUGCAUAAAGGAUUUGGGGUCUAGUAACAGUGUUAAAUAAAAAUGUAGCAUCAAGUAGCCUAGCUGUUUAGAUAAAUUAGUGCAUCUAAAGAAUUAAAAGAUAGGCCUUAGAUGUUUUCUAAAGCAGAUGGACACAUGGCUGUAAGGUUUUGUUAGCAGAAAAUUAAACUUGCACACUAUAUUUUAUUAAUAGACAAAGAAUGUUUAUUUCCCAGCUGUUUAUUACCCAUAGGUCACAAGUGCUCCCACCAACAUAUAUAUUGUAUCUGUAUGGAUAUAAAAUGGACUCCAAGUGCCUCUAAUAUAACUAAAAUAUAGAAAAGAAACCCUUUACAAAAGCCAGCACCUAUUUAAGUAUUGUAGAACCCUUAAUUCCUCUCCUCCCAGUAUCUUCUCUAUAUUUUUUUUCAAACCCCACCACAUUGCUUCAACUUUCUAUUUUAUCACUUAUACCAAAAUGAUUGGGACACAUUCUGUGGUCCUGAAUCAAGUGGGAAUUUUGCUCCAUUAACAACAGAAUAUAGCCCAAGAACUAUUUUCAUUUUACUUUAUAAAAAAAUGGAUAUGCCAUAUUCUUGAAAUUUUGAUUUACAAGUAAAUUUCAAGAAUCUUAAACUAUGCCUACCUAGUACAGAUAGAUAGUCACAGCUGGUUUUCAGUUUAUAAAGGUUCAGUCAAAAACUUAUUCAUGUGAUCGCUAAUGCACUUUUUAAAACUUAGUUGUCUUAAGUUUAGAAGAUUAUUUUGCCAAAUUAUAGAUGUUGUUUUUCAUAAAAUGUAUCUGCUAAAUUAGCACUCAUCACUUUAUCCAGCUCCUCAGUGCUGGGCCAUGAGGGAGUUUGCUUGCAUGGAGUUGCUCCCAAGUUAAAGCAUUUUGGUUAGUUUAUGUACAGAAAUGCUGUAAAUGUUUUCAGAGAGGUAACUUUUACUUUUAGAAUUUCUUAUGCCAUUUUGAGAUCAGAAUUUUUGUGUGCUUUUUUUUUUUUUAAAUGUAAACUUCACUGAUUAAAUUUCCAUUAGUUCUAGUGGCUGCACUUAUCUUUUCUCAUCUGUCCAUACUGAGAUCAAAUGCUAAGUGCAGGAUUAGAACCAAUCUAAGAUCUGUGAAGUAAUAAAUUAACACUCUAAACAGUAGAAACUGGUACCACUAUUUUAAGUGUAUCAAAAUCAUGAGCACCAUCCUUUCAAGAAAUGCUGAUGUGCAGACGUAUAUGUCAAACUUUACCAAGUAAUUUGUAAUUGAUGUAAUUUUGCCUCUACUGUUCACGAUUAUUAUUCUUCACCAGGCAUGCAGACUAAAUAAGUGGGGUUUUUGGUCCUCUCCUCAGUAAUGCAGCAAGGAAUGGAAAAUACCCCUUUACUCAAUGUGGUCUGGAAGGACUGAACUUCAGAAAUGAAAAGAAGUCUCCAAAAUAAGUUUUGUUGCCUUAAUGCUUUUUACUAGCCCAUUUUUGGCUUCUUUAGAGUACUGAAUCUGCACAUCAACAACAAAUGAUAUAUAACUAACAUGGAUAACUUACAUGUUUCUACAUUGCCUCAGUCUUCUCAAUUACAAUAGUCUCUGUUUGUCUAACUGGUGAUGAAGCCAUGUAGUCAUCGGACAGGAGACCAAGGAUUGGAUAUUGGUUCAUGUACCUGUAUAAAAAGUUUUGCAAAACUGUAAGUGGAAUACUGUUUAAAAAGCUCAGCAGAGAUAAACAUCUAUGUCCAAAGCAGUAUCUCGUCUUGGAGGACCAAAUUCAACCUUUCCCCCACAAUACUCACUUCUAGAUUAGUUAUUGCGCCCAGAUUUGUUUAAAAAGAGUUAAGUAAAUAUCUGAACCAUAGUUUUUGAAAGGCUUUAGUUUACCAACCGAAAUUUUCUCUCUCCUCAAAGGCAUCCACUUUAGAAGUGUGUGUUUCCACAUGUAUUACUUUUUCUUUUAAAGCCAAACACUCAUUACUAACUAUAUGCCAUGAUUCUGUCCAACACCCAUUAAUUAGCAUUAAGGGAUGCUCAAAAGACACAGGCAUACAGUUGCAGAGGACCAAAAAAAAAUGGCGACAGUAUGGACUGUUUUUUACUGUUCUUUUGACAUGUGUGUUCUCAGCCCAGGACAUGUCUACACUACAAUCUUAAGUCGACCUAUGUUAGCUCGACUUACAGCCACCACAGUAAUUACUGCGAUGGCUGCUGGACACACUACCGUUCUUCUGUCAGUGGUGUGCAUCCUCACCAGGAGCGCUUCCACCAACUGAAGAGGGGCAGUGGGGGGGUGGGGCUAAGAGACAGGGAUUUCAGCUCCACACAUCUCCCUGCCAGGAGCAGGGGGAGGUCAGCCACCUGGGGCUUUUUGUCUCUGGCAGGGAGAUCCAGCCUGGACUCCUGUCAGUUGCGGAGUCAGCUUUCUUGUCAAUUUCAUGGCUUCAAAAGGAGCUGUGAAAUUGACCAGACAGCCAACUUCUUAACUACACCAGCAUAAGUGGAGGUGUAAUAGGGCCCAUACAUUGGUGGGAGCAAGGCUGUAAUAUAAACACUAACAUAAGCUGCCUUAUGUCAACCUAAUUCUGUAGUGUACACCAAGCUUUAGUGUUGUUAACUCUGAAGAGCAAAAUGGAUUAAGUAGUCCAUAUUUUUUAUCCCUAAAGCAAGCAAAUCUAAAUCAGCAUUCACAUACAGAGAUUGCCAUAUUUAUUCUGAUCGUUUUCUGGCCAUAAAUACAAAUGUUUUGAAUAAAAAGUGCAGUAGGAUAGAUUUCCAACUAAGUCUUAGAACACUGGCAUUUCUCAGACAUAUACAACUUUCUAAGGUUUAGUUUAUCAAGUGAGAUUCAGAGGAAGGAACACCCUCAUUUAUCUUCACAUCCUCCAAACACUUCAUUAAAAUGGUCAGUGGGACUAUAUAAAGCACAUCUUCUCCAGACAUUUUUCUUAAGCCCAGAUAUUAAAUAAACAUUUUAAAAGAGAAUCUUGUAACCUGACAUUUGCAGGCCACUACUGCUGUGAAAACCAGUAUAAAAUGAAAAUUAAAAAAAAAUUAAGAAAAUUAUAUUGCUACAUUACUUUUUUGUGAUGAUAGACUUUGUUACACCUGUGGAUUGAUUGCAUGAUAAUCUUUCUUGCUUCAACCUGAAGAGUUCCUAAGGAAACCAAAAAUAACAUUUAGUGAAGAGUUCAGAAUUAUUAUUUUUAACUCUGAAGUCACAAGAAAAUAAUUAAGGUUAAACUCCUUUCAGAAGACAAAAUGGAAUCAAAUUUGGUUAUUCCAAUAGACUGGGUCAGAGGAAGGCCUACAGGCUCUACCUAACAGUCAAGGGUAUUACUAGGGGUUGGGCAAAAAUUACUCCUUUUUCAGGAGAGACAAAGGUUGAACAGGUUGCAGAACUCCCCUCUCUAUGAAGCAUGCUCAUAAAUUCCUCUGGCAUCCACUUAGCAUGGAGGAAAGGAAGGGGCAGCUGUUGAUAAGUAUUAAAGAUUCUUACAAAGGAAUUUUAUAGUAAUAGAUGGAAGAAGUGUCCUGCAAACCAAAGACUUAUAGUUUUACAUGUAGCAGAGCAAUUAAAGGAAACAGAUCAGUAGUGCUGUUAUCUUGGCAGAUCUUCUCUACCCCACCUGCUCUAUCUUCCACCUUAAAUUCUAAUGAUUUACACAGUUAAAAUUUGAAUUUUCUUAUGGUCCUCAACAGGGUAAGAGUAAAUAAUAGACUUUAUAAAACUGCAGCACAAAUGAACACUGUUUUUACCUCUUGCUGCUGUUUAAUAAAAGUCUCCUUCUCUUCUAACAUUGAAGUAAGUUCAUGCAGCCUCAUCUGGAAGUCACUGUUACUUCCAUCUCUUCUUGAAAUAUCUUGCUGGAACUGGUUUAUCUGGGACUUUAAAAAAAAAAAAACAGUUAUGCACAUGGUAAGGAAAAUAAUAGCUCUGAAGUCGACACAUCUUAAAUAAAGCUGACCUGCAAUGAACAAACAAUGGAGUUGUGCCCCUUUUUUUGCUGCUUUGUGUUUCAAAAAGAUCUGAAUUUUAAUUUUUUUUUUUUUUGGUGGGGGAAGAAAAGAAAAGAAAAGAAAAAAGGAGGAAGUUCAAGUCUUUCUAUGUUGUUUUUCCUGAAACAUGCUACAGGCGACAGGAGAACCGGUAGAACUCGGAUAAUUAAAAACUUGAUUGACAGGAGAAGCCAAUUUUAUUCAUAUGUUUAAAACUGUUGGUUUGUUUUUAGUUAACACCUAUUUCUCACACACACCUGAACAGGAGAAAAGAUGGCUUAGUUAAAAGUUAAAUAUACAUCUAAGACCCCCAACGCAGUCUUCUAUCAAAACUGUGGAACACUAAACUUGAAUUACUGAUAUUAUGGUUAAAAAAAAACAAAAACACAAAGAAAGCUUUUCAGGCCUUUUUAAUACAUAAUGAACUAAAAAGGCAAAAAGUCCAACUUUUCCUCCUUUGCUGGUCUCCUUUAAACUAGAAUUAAGCUAAUUUUAUCCAGUUUGUGGAUUUAUUUUAUUUAAUGCACUACUUCUCCCAUGUUUUGCUGCUGUUUGUUUUCUGUUACUUUAUAAUUAUUUAAGAUUUGUAUUAUGGUAGUGUGUAGAAGCCUAAAUAACAAUCAUGACCCUGAAUAUAUGAAUACAGAAAGUAUGGUCCUGUCUGUGUGACUAGUCCUGGACAUGACUCUGAAAAUGAAGGAUUUUCAUCAAAUAAUAGAAGGAUAAUUUUUUUUGAUUCUGCAUCCUACUGGCAUACACUUAAAAAUCCAAAUUUUAUUUAAAAGUUUUAUAUCUGCUAUUGGUACAAAAUUCCAAUUUUAUUUCUUUCAGGACUCCAACUGAAAGAAAUAAAAGGGAAAAGAUAUUUGUAUUUCCAGUUUGUCCACUUGGUACAUUUGUCAGCGCUUUAGAUCUCAUCUCCUUAUGUUUGUGUGGAUUCUCACACAGCAAGAAACCACAUUAAAAUAACCAGAUUAAUAUAAAAAAAAAAUGUUCAGGGAGACUCAAGAAUAGGUCAACUUCAAUUAAAUGAUUUUAGCGCCUUUUUGGUGCAAUGGAGUGGUUCCAAGUUAACAUUAUUACUUUAGUAGUUCACUAGUGCUUUGAUUUUGUUUGCUAUCAGUAAGUUUAUGAAACUCAGUAUGCUCUGAUAAAUUCUUUUGGUUACCAAUUAUAGCACAAGUUAGAAAGAUCUCUAAGCAGGCCAAAUAUAAAUACAGUACCCUUGUGUGACAGAGGUUUUAUAGGUACAAUUUAAAUCAGGAUCUGUCUUAUUCUGUGAAAGCUGCCUUUCUGGUUAGUUUUUGCACGCUCCCAAAAUACAUGAAUCUUUUGUUUAUGCUCAACUCACAAGUCUCUAAUGUGUAGUAAAACUGCCAACCCAGUUUUGGAGUCAGAAAAGAUUCUGUAAAAUCUGCUUCUGAAGGGUGAAUUAUUAGUUUUCAACCAAACACAACGUGAACAAUAAGGCGAGGAUUUCAAUGGAUACAAAACAGAGACCACUAUCUCUAAUUUCAAACCACAAAAUAGCUAAAGUAUGUAUAUUUGGUUGGUAUAAGCUUCUUCCAUUUUGUAAUUUUGAAAAUGGAACCUGCCACUUUCCUAUAUCCAUACUUUGCUCAGAAAUCUGUACAUGAUUAUGAAUGUAUACGUUAUAAGAUAACCAACAUACCCUAAGAUUGCGGAUCUCUCUAUCUUUAUCCUCUCUCAAGUUGUUAAUCAUCUCCACGUAACGACUAGAGAGCUCAUCUGUGCUGGUUUGUAUCAGUGGAUUAGAACAGGUCUAUGCAAAACAAAAUUAUAGUACUCUUAAUUAUUAUGCAGUGUAAUACAGUUAUAAGGAUAUAAAGUAUGUAUCAUCAGAUGAGAAAACAAGAAAAUUAUCUUUACAUGUCACCUUCCCUCCACCCUAUGAAUUCUAAAUCUAGUGUAGCUGGAUUUAUGAGUGAAAAAAUAGUGACAAGAAAAUAAAAAACCAUUACCUUCAUUCUCAGGUUCUGGAUCUCCUGAUCCAAGGCACGCUUGCAGUAUUCCAGUUCUUUUAACCGACAGUCCUUCUCUCCCUCAGCACAUCGGAGAGAGAUGAUCUGUUCCUCCAGUGAACGACAUUUUGCAACACUGUCUCUGAGUCCUUGCUAUGAAAGCAGCAAACAAAAAAUUCUUAGAUAUGGAGAUAGCGAAUCUGCUGCUUUGUCAACUCUGACAGUCCUUUGGGAAUCAAACCUUCAAUAUCUUCUACCUAAUAAUGAAGACAGAAAAACAAAUCAAUUUGUUGGCUUUGACAUCUCGAAUAAGAAUUCUUCCUGUAUAUGACAAUGUGAUUUCUUCAUUAAAUUACUCUGCUUGGAAAACAUGAGAAAGACAGAAAACUGAGAAAUGGAAUGCACACAGAUCAAAUUAUAUCCAGAAAACUUCCAAAAUGUAUGUCUUACAUUGUAUAUAAAGCUAAUUUAGAUGGAGACAUUAGUUUGAAGCAUAUUUAUUUUUUGCUGAUGAAUAAGCAAAAAGUCUGUCAAUUUUAAAUGUGUAUGUUUUAGAAAUAAUAAACACUUAAUUAUGUUCCUAUUCUGGAGACAUAAAAGUUACACUGAGUUGCAGCUA